GAUGAACGCUGGCGGUAUGCUUAACACAUGCAAGUCGAACGGACUCUUCGGAGUUAGUGGCGGACGGGUGAGUAACGCGUGAGAAUCUGGCUUUGGGUUCGGGACAACCACUGGAAACGGUGGCUAAUACCGGAUGUGCCGAGAGGUAAAAGAGAAAUUGCCUGAAGAUGAGCUCGCGUCUGAUUAGCUAGUUGGUGAGGUAAAGGCUCACCAAGGCAGCGAUCAGUAGCUGGUCUGAGAGGAUGACCAGCCACACUGGGACUGAGACACGGCCCAGACUCCUACGGGAGGCAGCAGUGGGGAAUUUUCCGCAAUGGGCGAAAGGCUGACGGAGCAAUACCGCGUGAGAGAAGAAGGCUCUUGGGUUGUAAACCUCUUUUCUUAGGGAAGAACAAAAUGACGGUACCUAAGGAAUCAGCAUCGGCUAACUCCGUG
rnacentral:rRNA from 1 species